CCUACGGGAGGCAGCAGUAAGGAAUCUUCCACAAUGGACGAAAGUCUGAUGGAGCAACGCCGCGUGCAGGAUGAAGGCUUUCGGGUCGUAAACUGCUUUUAUAUGGGAAGAUUAUGACGGUACCAUAUGAAUAAGGACCGGCUAACUACGUGCCAGCAGCCGCGGUAAUACGUAGGGUCCAAGCGAUAUCCGGAAUUACUGGGCGUAAAGCGUGUGUAGGUGGAUUAAUAAGUGUGAUGCGAAAUCCGGCGGCUCAACCGUUUGGACUGUGUCGCAUACUGUUAGUCUAGAGGACGGCAGAGGUAAGUGGAAUUACGGGUGUAGCAGUGAAAUGCGUAGAUAUCCGUAGGAACACCAAUGGCGAAGGCAGCUUACUGGGCCACACCUGACACUGAGACACGAAAGCGUGGGGAGCGAACAGGAUUAGAUACCCUGGUAGUCCACGCCGUAAACGAUGCAUACUAUUAGUAUGGGGUAUCGACCCCCUGUGCUGAGAAGCUAACGCGAUAAGUAUGCCGCCGUGGGGAGGUACGAGCGCGACGACGUUAAACCUAACAACUAGUAAGUUAGUACGGCGUGAGACGUGCCGACGGACGACGACGAGGGAGGAGG
rnacentral:rRNA from 1 species